UUAAACUUAGAACAAAAAAUA
rnacentral:piRNA from 1 species